rfam:Ictidomys tridecemlineatus contig073433, whole genome shotgun sequence.
AAUAUAAGUUACAACUUAUCUAGAAAAUAAAUCCUCCUUUGCAACCCAAUACUUAUUGUUCAAUAUGAGUUUAGAUACAUGUAAGAAGGAAAAUU